UAGCGGCGGACGGGUGAGUAAUGCUUAGGAAUCUGCCUAUUAGUGGGGGACAACAUCUCGAAAGGGAUGCUAAUACCGCAUACGUCCUACGGGAGAAAGCAGGGGAUCACUUGUGACCUUGCGCUAAUAGAUGAGCCUAAGUCGGAUUAGCUAGUUGGUGGGGUAAAGGCCUACCAAGGCGACGAUCUGUAGCGGGUCUGAGAGGAUGAUCCGCCACACUGGGACUGAGACACGGCCCAGACUCCUACGGGAGGCAGCAGUGGGGAAUAUUGGACAAUGGGGGGAACCCUGAUCCAGCCAUGCCGCGUGUGUGAAGAAGGCCUUAUGGUUGUAAAGCACUUUAAGCGAGGAGGAGGCUCUUUUGGUUAAUACCCAAGAUGAGUGGACGUUACUCGCAGAAUAAGCACCGGCUAACUCUGUGCCAGCAGCCGCGGUAAUACAGAGGGUGCAAGCGUUAAUCGGAUUUACUGGGCGUAAAGCGCGCGUAGGCGGCCAAUUAAGUCAAAUGUGAAAUCCCCGAGCUUAACUUGGGAAUUGCAUUCGAUACUGGUUGGCUAGAGUGUGGGAGAGGAUGGUAGAAUUCCAGGUGUAGCGGUGAAAUGCGUAGAGAUCUGGAGGAAUACCGAUGGCGAAGGCAGCCAUCUGGCCUAACACUGACGCUGAGGUGCGAAAGCAUGGGGAGCAAACAGGAUUAGAUACCCUGGUAGUCCAUGCCGUAAACGAUGUCUACUAGCCGUUGGGGCCUUUGAGGCUUUAGUGGCGCAGCUAACGCGAUAAGUAGACCGCCUGGGGAGUACGGCCGCAAGGUUAAAACUCAAAUGAAUUGACGGGGGCCCGCACAAGCGGUGGAGCAUGUGGUUUAAUUCGAUGCAACGCGAAGAACCUUACCUGGUCUUGACAUCCACAGAACUUAGCAGAGAUGCUUUGGUGCCUUCGGGAACUGUGAGACAGGUGCUGCAUGGCUGUCGUCAGCUCGUGUUGUGAAAUGUUGGGUUAAGUCCCGCAACGAGCGCAACCCUUAUCCUUUGUUGCCAGCGGUUAGGCCGGGAACUCAAAGGAGACUGCCAGUGAUAAACUGGAGGAAGGUGGGGAUGACGUCAAGUCAUCAUGGCCCUUACGACCAGGGCUACACACGUGCUACAAUGGCGCAUACAAAGAGAAGCGACCUCGCGAGAGCAAGCGGACCUCAUAAAGUGCGUCGUAGUCCGGAUUGGAGUCUGCAACUCGACUCCAUGAAGUCGGAAUCGCUAGUAAUCGUAGAUCAGAAUGCUACGGUGAAUACGUUCCCGGGCCUUGUACACACCGCCCGUCACACCAUGGGAGUGGGUUGCAAUAAGAAGUAGGUAG
rnacentral:rRNA from 1 species